AUGGCGCCGAAGAAGACGCCGAAGGGCAAGUCGGGCUUCUUCGGCGUGAGGCAGAAGCCCUCCGGUAACUUCGGAGUGGAGUUCUCCGACGUCGGGAGGCGUUGGUGGAUCGACACGUACCCCUCCGCCCACGAGGCCGCGCGUGCCUACGACGUGGCGGUGUGGCAUGCCGAGAGGCCUCGGGAGCACCUCAAGUUCCCAGAGAUCGAGAGUCGGGCAGAAGCGGAGAUGCUUGUGCCGCAGGGCAUCAAGAUGAAGGAGAUCCCGACGAAGAAGAAGACGACGAAGAAGCCGUCGGUUGUCGUCGGUGCCGGCGAGACCGACGAGGAGGCGAUGGCGAGGUUUGCUCGGGAGCAUCCGGAGUACGUCCAGGCCGAGCUGGAGUACUACUGGAAGCGUGAGGCGGAGCAGAAGAAGAAGGGGGCGAAGAAGGAGGACGAGGCCGGUCCCUCGACGGUGAUCCCCAUCGAGUCCUCUUCCGAGGAGGACUAG
rnacentral:rRNA from 1 species